rnacentral:rRNA from 1 species
CAGUCGCCACGGGAACACGAAGGGGGCUAGCGUUGCUCGGAACCACUGGGCGUAAAGGGUGCGUAGGCGGGUCUUUAAGUCAGGGGUGAAAUCCUGGAGCUCAACUCCAGAACUGCCUUUGAUACUGAAAAUCUUGAGUUCGGGAGAGGUGAGUGGAACUGCGAGUGUAGAGGUGAAAUUCGUAGAUAUUCGCAAGAACACCAGUGGCGAAGGCGGCUCACUGGCCCGAUACUGACGCUGAGGCACGAAAGUGUGGGGAGCAAACAGGAUUAGAUACCCCUGUAGUCCCUGUCUCUUAUAA